rnacentral:rRNA from 1 species
GAUGAACGCUAGCUACAGGCUUAACACAUGCAAGUCGAGGGGUAACAAGAGAAAAGCUUGCUUUUCUUGUUGACGACCGGCGCACGGGUGAGUAACGCGUAUCCAACCUGCCUAUAACUAGGGAAUAACCUUGCGAAAGUAAGACUAAUACCCUAUGAUUUCCUUUGAUGACAUCAGAUUAGGAUUAAAGAUUUAUCGGUUAUAGAUGGGGAUGCGUCUGAUUAGCUUGUUGGCGGGGUAACGGCCCACCAAGGCAACGAUCAGUAGGGGUUCUGAGAGGAAGGUCCCCCAGAUUGGAACUGAGACACGGUCCAAACUCCUACGGGAGGCAGCAGUGAGGAAUAUUGGUCAAUGGGCGGAAGCCUGAACCAGCCAAGUAGCGUGCAGGAUGACGGCCCUAUGGGUUGUAAACUGCUUUUAUACAGGAAUAAAGUUAGCCACGUGUGGUUAUUUGUAGGUACUGUAUGAAUAAGGACCGGCUAAUUCCGUGCCAGCAGCCGCGGUAA